rnacentral:pre_miRNA from 1 species
AUGAUGCGCAAAUGCGGAUAUCAAUGUAAAUCAGGACAACAAACCAAUAGAGGUGCUCAGCAAAAACAACAAAAUGCGAAAAGGGUUUAUCAGAAACAUUAUUUGAAACAUUGGGGUCAUGAUAUACCUUUAUAUCCGCAUUUGCGCAUCAU